rnacentral:rRNA from 1 species
AACGAACGCUGGCGGCAGGCUUAACACAUGCAAGUCGAACGGAUCCUUCGGGAUUAGUGGCAGACGGGUGAGUAACGCGUGGGAACGUACCCUUUGCUACGGAAUAACUCAGGGAAACUUGAGCUAAUACCGUAUGUGCCCUACGGGGGAAAGAUUUAUCGGCAAAGGAUCGGCCCGCGUUGGAUUAGCUAGUUGGUGGGGUAAUGGCCUACCAAGGCGACGAUCCAUAGCUGGUCUGAGAGGAUGAUCAGCCACACUGGGACUGAGACACGGCCCAGACUCCUACGGGAGGCAGCAGUGGGGAAUAUUGGACAAUGGGCGCAAGCCUGAUCCAGCCAUGCCGCGUGAGUGAUGAAGGUCUUAGGAUUGUAAAGCUCUUUCACCGGUGAAGAUAAUGACGGUAGCCGGAGAAGAAGCGCCGGCUAACUUCGUG